rnacentral:rRNA from 1 species
UACGUAGGGAGCGAGCGUUGUCCGGAUUCAUUGGGCGUAAAGAGCUCGUAGGCGGCUUGGCAAGUCGGGUGUGAAAACUCCAGCUCAACCUGGAGACGCCACCCGAUACUGCCAUGGCUAGAGUCCGGUAGGGGACCACGGAAUUCCUGGUGUAGCGGUGAAAUGCGCAGAUAGUCAGGAGGAACACCGGUGGCGAAGGCGGUGGUCUGGGCCGGAACUGACGCUGAGGAGCGAAAGCGUGGGGAGCGAACAGG